GGGAGUUCGGGAAGGGCAGAGGCGGGUGGAAUCCUAGGCCUGGGGCAGCAGGGCCCGCGGUGUCGAGAACGUUUCUGCCGCUCCUCGGCAGUCACCUCCCCGCCCGGGCUUAAUCGCUAACCGCGUCGAGGGAGCGGGAGAAAAACACUCGCACUCCGCAGGCUUUCGCGGGGUCCUUUCCUUUGGGGGGGCGGAGGGGGGUGGUCGUCGGUGCCGCCCCCCACAUUCCUGCCUUCUCGAGGCCCGUGCCAUUGGUCACAUCCGCCCAGGGCGCAAUAUGAAAAAUAUGUGCCAAGAGCUGUAAAACUGUCCAUAGAGCCCUUUUGACCCAGUAAACCCAUUUAAGGAAGUACAUUUCUAAGGAAAUGAUCCAAAGGGGGAAGGGGGGUGGAACUUGCGGAAAGAUGUUUACAGCAGGGCUAUUCACAAUGUUUGUAAUGACCAGAACCUGGGAAUGGACCCAAUUUGUCCAACAAUUGAAUACUCCAAGCAAGCUCUGUCGCAUUACAGGAAGAAUCCUGGCAGGUAUGCGGACUGUGUCAAGCACAUGAAAUUUUGGCAAGUACAUGAAAGAUGAUGUAAUGGGGACUCAGAUAUAUGCAAAUGGAAUGAAUAAAUGAAUUAACAAAUGGAUAGAUGAAAACGAUGAGCUGUGAAUGGUCUGGCCAUCAUGGAUAAAACACGUAACAACUUUUCCCGUCUUGCUUCACACCACCAAGCAACUCAGACUGGAGCUGUUGUAGUGAGACGCCUCUGCCCACAUAAGCCAGGAUUUAAUAACAGAAUAAAGGAAUGGACUCUCAAUACAAAGAUGUCAUUAUCUUUGUAAACUCCACUACUACAAAGGAUACAGAGUUUAAUGGUUUAUAAAAUAGACUUUCAUCCUAAGUUUCAUUCAUGGUUCUGGUCAUAAUUCCCAGGGUGAACGAGUAAAGCACUGAACCCCUCUGUGAGUCAGUUUCCUCAUACACAAAACAGAAAUAAUGACGCUUGGUUGUCAUUAAGGCUUCUUAAGAUCCCCAGAUGAAAGAUACUGUAUUCAUCCAAGACAUAUUAUUCAUCAGCAUACUAUGAAAGAAAGACUCUCAGAGGAGAAAGAUCUGGCCAUGGUUCAGCAGUGUGCUCAGAAGUAAAUGAAAAAGAAAGAGAGAUAUUGAGGCAACUACUGAAUCAGAAUGCCAAUGGCCACAGUCUUCAUGCCUUUGGAUUUCUUAUUGACAUUCUCGCUGACCAUGUUUAAACAGGGGCUGUUAGGCACAGUCACUGUUUGCUGUGGCCCAGCAGGGCCGACCAGGGAAGGCCGUUCAAACCUCAACAUAGAUCACUCCUAUGCAAGGAGGUGGGAGCCACGUGUUGGAAGGAAAAGGGUAAACUCUGCUCUCAUCAGCUCUGCCAUGAGCCUCCAGAAGUAGCACCGACACUCCGCUGCCCAGAUUGACAGCUCAGCAGAGCAGAGGUGCUCCGAAAGGGACACCCAGCCCCAGAGCUCUGUGCUCUGGGAGUGGCGCGAAUUUCAAGAGCAUCAGACACAUCAGCCUCAGGUAUCAUCAGCCUUACGUAUGAUCCCCACUCCCACUUCAAGACAACAAGAAGGUGACUUACUGGUGAGCACAGCAGCAGUCCCUCCCAGCGCGUCCAAAGACAGCCAGCACUUACAGCUGCCUCUGUGGCAGCAGCCUCAGUACAAGUCACAAGUGGUAUUUCGUGGGACUAUUUAUCAAUCAGUAAAAUGGGUUGAAUGCCUACCAUGCAUCGGAGACUCUGACUGGCACCAAGGGGAACUCAGAGAUAAGAAAGGCAAGGUCAUGGACCUUGUGAUUUGGGGAGAGAAAUGAGACAAAUAAAUAUACAGGGCCUGGCCAGGAGCAAGUGCUCAGUGUAUUUAUUGCCUACACAAAGGAUGGACUGAAUGAAUGAACCGGAUAUACACACAAGAAAGGCAUGCGGUACAGAAGAAAGAACACAGGACUUGGAAUCUGAAGACACAGUUGGCAUCCUGGCUCACCCACAUCCCAGCUAGGUGGUUCUGCUUGCUUCCAGAUCCAUGGUCCACCUGCUCUGUGCCCCAUGGUGACCUGUGUAGAUGCCUUCCCAGGGCUCCCUUGUGGUCUGUCUUCUGGCUGGGCUCAGCCCAAAAGGAAUCCCUUGAAAGAGACUGGGGGUGAGGACAGGAUUUCUUCCCCUCCCCGGGCUCAGCCUCUGGCAGCAGCCCUGCACCUCAGUCCUUGCACUCCCACAGGUUGCUUCCCACUUCUCACUGGGCUCGGGGAACAUUAUGUCCUGCCCCUGCCUUGCCCUUUGACCUCAGUUUCUGUUACUGAUGUCUUAGUCCUUCAACACUCUGUCUUCCUUUAAUCCUGUCCAUACCUCUGGAAAAAGUUCCUCCUUGGAACUAACCACCUGAGUUAGUUCCGUUUCCUGCUGAGACCCAACUCAUUAGGUAAAUUAGAGGAAAUCAUGGAACUUCUCAGAGUGCCAGAUUCUUUGACUAUGAAAUAGAAUAAUAACAAUACUUAGGACUAGUGCUAUGCCUGAACGUUGGCCCUAAUAAACAUUGGCUGCUUGAAUAAAUCAAUGAGUGAAUGAACUAAUGAAUGAAUGAAUGAAUGGCUAAGAGGACUAAUGAUGAGGUGUUACUGUACUAGGUGUGAAAAUGUCGGUUACUAUAAUUCUUAUUAAAUGGCAAAUGAAUCUAACAGUGUUAACUAUCUCGAUAUCCUAAAAUGGGCACGGGUCAAGAAUCAGGAAAUCUGAUUCCACUUGCUAACUGUGUGGUCUCAGGAAAAUUAUCUCCCCAUUCUGUGCCUCUAUUUCUUCCCCUGUAAACAAAAGAGUUGCAGGUAAUAACCUGUAAGUACCCAUCCAAUUUGGACAUCCUAUCAAGUACUCAGCAUUCAGGGGACUGUACAACAAUCUGAGUUGCAGAAGCUGGGGAAGGCCGUGGGGAGGAAGCAGGAACUUGAAGAAUGGAACCAUAACUGGGAGAGCAGAAGAUCUCCCAAUUGAGCGAGUCUUGGGGGGUGGAUGGUGGGUCACCAUGCUGGUGACUAAGAAGAACAUCCAGCCGGAACAGAAGUUGCCCAUGGGACAUAAGGGGAAAUGGCUGGGGACAGAGCCUGGAGACACAUGACCAUCAGACCGAGAAACUGAAAGGAACUGUGGAAGAAGGAGUCUGACCUCCUCAAGGACCCAAAGCUAGUGCAGAACUCGGGUUCUCGUUUCCUCUGCUGACCCACUGAGUUGCCAUCAGGGUCUGUCUCUCCAUCUCCUGAUGGCAGUUGCCUUCUCCCUUUUGUGAUUCCUUUCUUUGAAGGUCACUUGUCAAAGUAGGGUUGGAGGAAAAUUUAUUAAGUGAGGAAACCAUUCGGUAACAGAUAUUUUUGGCACCAUUCAAAUCUUGGCAAAAGACAUGUGCCUGUCGUUAUCCCGCUUGCAUUUUAAAAUAUGUUUGUUUGCAGCAAAGUCAAAGGCAUGCUCACCAAAACAAAGUGAUGUUUUUAAGUUCUUGAAAAACUAUAAAUCCAGGGAAAAAAUGUAAUUGGCCUCGAGCAAGAAUAUUCACUGGAGGAUACUAGGCAUUAAGUCAAAAGUACUUGUAAACAAAUGAUAAAAAUUAACAAUAAGGAUGAUAAUGUAAAACUGCUGUAGGACAACUGGAGUUAUUUGAAAAAUGUGGCUAGCUGUGUGAGUUUAGUCAUCUCCCUUCCCUUCUUGGGCCUCAGUUUCCCCUUAAAAUAAGUUUCCCCUUCAAAUAAAGGAUUUAGACCCAAUGGUGGGCUCUAGAAGGCUGUCCUGCCCUGAUGGGGCCUGCGGGUCCCACGUUGCUGCUCUCUCCCCCUUUGUUGGGAACAGCAUUCCCAGGAGGGCACAAGAGAACUUUCGUCACU